rnacentral:lncRNA from 1 species
AAUCAUAUUACACCUAGAAAUCAGGACAAUUGCACCCAUGUAGAACCUUCAAAAAAUACCAUGUCAAAUUGCAAAAGCACUUAACCUUGGAUAAACUAACGGAAGGAGGAUAGGAACACAAACUGAAAUCAUGCUGUAAGUAAGAGGUACUAUUCUUCUAUUUUCUUACCUUUAUGUUGGACAUCCUAUAUGUGAAUAACAACGUUCUAUGUUUAUCUUCUAUAUCCAUGAAAUGACAACAUCUGGCCCUUAGUUCAUUGACCACAACUUAGCAUUUGAUCAAAUUGUUGGUUGGAUAUUUUUUGGUCGAGUCGGAUUUGUUUCCAAUAAAUAAUGGAGCUUACAUUGUGUUCAAUCAGAUUAGUUCAUGAACAACAACAACAAAUUCAGUGUAAUCCCGCAAGUGAUAUCUGGGAAGAAUAGUAUUACGCAACCUUACCCCUACCUUUAAAAAGGCAGAGAAGUUGUUUCCGGUAGACUCGUGGCUUAGGAGAUUGGUCCAUGAAAAGGCAAUAAUUUGCCUUUAUUUUCAUUCAGCCAAGGUUGUGGCCUAGUGGUCAAUAAAGUGGCUAAGAAUCAUGAGGUCUCAUGUGAAUUGCUCCUCUUGAGCCGAGGAUUGGAAAAUCGAAAAUAAUUUCUUUACCUCCACAAGGUAGGGGUAAGUUCUCUGUACACAUUAUCCUUCCCAGACCCUACCCCAUACUAAUAUACUGUUACGUUGUUGUCGUUAUAAGAACCAUGAGAUCUCAGGUUCAAAUACUAGUGUAAGCAAAAACAAUAGGUAACUUCUUCGUAUCUAUCUAAGCCUCCAAUACCCGAGGUAGUGGACAUCAUGUAAAUUAGUCGAGGUGCCUAUGAAGAAAAAAUUAGCCUUUAUUUUCAUCAAAUAAUCUCUUUUGAGAUGACUCAAAUACCUAUGACCUAUCUAAGUUAUUUUCAGGAAGCUUCAGUCACAUUGUAUUUGUUCAAGUUAGAUUAGCUUCCUAUAGAAAGUAGAGCUUGCACUGUUCAAUUUAGUUUUUCCUGUUUAUCAUACAUUCAUAUCUGAAACUUCUCAAAACAAAAAUAUAUAUUAUUAUUAUUAUUAUUAUUAUUAUUAUUACACAGUAUUUUUAAUUUGGAUAUUUUGAUUACCUUUCAGCGAUCAUAGCUAGGGAACGAUCGGAACAGUGUCUAACCCGAAUGGUAGUAAGAGUUCCAUCGCUCCAAAGUACAACAGAUCGAAGCAUAUUGUCCAUUUUGCGCUCGAACUCGGGCGUCCAGUAAAGAGACGACUCAGUGGCCGAUUCGAACUGAGUUUAGAUGUCGAUUACUGAGUUUAGGUUAGGAUCCUUGCAAGCUUGAAACCAUGGCUUGCACACAAACAUGGCUCCGCGCCAUCGGUCUUCGAGGGAGAGGCGAGAGAGGAUGUUGAUGAGGCAUAACUGAGUUAACUAGGCCCAGUCAUGGCUAGGUCCUGACUCGGAUAUUUUCUCUUUGUUUUCGUCAAUUUCUAUUGGGAAGUUCCUCUGAGUCAGGGGCGUUCAUCGGGCGAAUUGGGCGGCUUUUUACUCUUAACGGUUUGGCUUAACGGUUAUCGGCUUUUAAAUGUAUUCAUCCGUUAGCCACCCGAUAAGAUAUCGGGCGACGCUAGAGUUUGCACGAAUUUAGGAGUUAAUGAACUCCUAAAUGGAUCAAGAAGACGUCCUCCCGUACUAAACGCACAUUCGAAUGCCACACUUGAAUCCGGAACAAAUUAUUAACCAUAUUAGGUAUUAGGGAAGACAUGGCACAAAGUCCUUACAAAGGCUAAUUGGACUGAUAACUUAUAUAUCAAUUUGAAACGCGAUAACUUAUAUAUCAAUUUGAAACGCGAGCCUACCGCUCCAGCAUUAUGAACUAGGAACUUCCAAGAAAUGGCGUCCCAAUUUUUUCCUGAACCAACUUUCAGUUUGUUUAUCAGAGAAACAGAUACGAAAAUUCCUCGUCUCAAAUGAUAUUAGAGAUUAGUAUAACUUUUCUUAAUCAUACAAGAAAGAUUUACUUGGUGUAAACGGACUGCCUUAAAAAUACUCACCUUUGGACUAAUAAUACGCGUAUAGGGAUCUCCAAGCGUAGAUAGCAUUCCCAUGACUUUGCUAUAAGCAGCAUCGUCUGACCUCAAGGGAAACAUCUCUACCAUUGUUUGUUGCAGUUUCAAGUCCCAAUCUGCAAAAUAAUACAUCCUUUACCACUUUAGCUCAAUCUACAUAUUUCAUGCUGUUAGGCCAAAAUGAGAAUGUAAGUUUACUUUACAAAGAAUAAUCAGCCCAUGUCAUAAAUCAGAACUUAUACUUCUUAAGUGAGAGAGGAAUGGGGGUUGAUUUACCAAAAAAAUUAAGUUAUUACCAAUUCACUAAAGAAGUUAUUACCAAAAACAUUAAGUUGAUUUACUUUAAAGUUUUUAGUUUUUUAUAUUUAAUAUAUAUAAUUAUAUAAGUAAAAAUAAAUUUUAUAUAUAUAAAAAUUGAAUAAUCCGCCCCCAAACCGCUAAGCCGUUAAUAAAAAAAAAUUCAAUCCGUUCUCCGUCCGUUAAGCCGUUAAGCCGUUACCAUUAAGCCAUUAAGCUUCGGUUCGGUUUUCGGUUUCGGAUUGGUUUUGAACACCCCUACUCUGAGUUGCUAUCAAUUUUUAAUUCUGGGAUUAUUAAUAGGAAAGGAGUAUUUUCCCCAAAAACUGAAAAGGGGAUACAUCUGGUUCAGAUUUAUUAUUUUUUUAGCCGAUAUUUGUAGAUUAUAUAUUAAUUAUAAUAGGUGAAUUUAUUUAAUAUAUAUUAUAUAUUUGUUGGUUCUUUUAGAAUAAACGAUUGAGUGUGUGGCUAUUUAAGUUAAUUUAGAAGUUAGGAGUUUAAGUUUUGUACAUUAAUAAAAUAAAUUUUUUACACUAUCAUAUUAAGAGGGUACCAGCUUUUAAGCAUUUUUUUUUAUUUUUUGGAGCGUUUGGCAACAAAAAAAAACAGCUUAAAAAAAGUCAAAAGUAACUAGUUGAGUGAUCCAACUUUUUUGAUUUUGGCUUAAAAGUCAUUUUAGCUUGACCAAUAAAAUUACUCUUUUGCCCUUGUAAGUUUUUAUAAUACCAAAAUUACCCUCUUCUUUCCUCUUCAUCUUCAUUUUUAUAAUACCAAAGUUUUUAUAUUUUUGUCUUUUUAAUAAGAAAAAAUUCUUACCACCACUUGUUUGUCAAACCUUUCAACAACUUUUUUUAAGCUUUAGCACUUUUAUCCAAACAUGUAACUACUUAUUUAUAAAAUAAGCUCCAGCACUUAAGCACUUGUGCUUAAAAGUCACUUUUUUUAAGCCAAUCCAAACGGGCUCUAAGUUAACUAUAACGACAUUAGCCGUUCAUAACAAGUACUUCAUAACAGAGACAGAGCCAGGAUUUCAAAUUUAUGAGUUCGGAAGUCGAAUUUUUUUUAAAUUACUAGGUUCUAAAUUAGUACUUAAUUUGUACAUAUUCAAUAAACUUUCCGAAAUAAAUACAUGAUUUUAAUCAAAAUUUUUGGGUUCAGUCGAGCCCAUAGUCAACACUCUGACUCUGCCCCUGCUCCAAAACAGAUAACUUGAUAAAGUAACAACAUAUUAUAUCAAGUUAAAUUGCAUUAACAAGAUAACUUCUUCUUAUGGUCAGUACAUAUAAUUUAAUGGGAUUUUUAUAUUCUUAUACCAUAUAUGAAAUAUUAUUACCCUUAAUAUUUAAGGUUUGUGUUUAUUACAUUUAAGCAUACCAAAUUACCAUUUAUAUAUUAUAAUUUAAAUUAGGGGUAUACUUAAUGCUUCAUUUAUAUUAGGCGUUAAUUUAGGAGCGUAUAUUCUCCCAUUUACCUUUACCCGCCUUUUUCUCCUCCCACCCCCACGUUUUACCUUCACUAUCUCACGUAGAGACCCAUGAUUCUCCAACUAAAGUGUGAGAACAAAAUGUAUGUUCUUAAAUACUGCAAUAUUUUACAUGUGAGCUCCUUGAAAAUUGACGUGUCAUUUUCAUUAAAGUAGAAAGCUGCCGACCUCAAGGAAUGCUAAAGGAAGUGUCACUAUUUUCCAGAACUUGGAAAAGCAUAAAAGGUCAACUAAAAUUUUAUAUGAUAUUAUCUUGUUUUAGCAAUAAUCAGUGGCCAUGGUUUCGGAGAGAAUUUGCUUUGUGGAAAUAUAAAAGGACUUGUACAAACUAAAUUAACAAUUUUAGUAGACGAAGAGCAAAUUUUAUUGUCAAUAUUUUUUCGACACAAGAUUGUAGUUUAAUUGUAGUAUAAACGUAGUAAUUUUGUAGAUACUCUUAAAAACAAUACAACUUUAUACAAUACUUAAACUGAUUUGUAGUUUAUUUGUACAAAUGUUAUCUACGAGAUAUCUACAAACUGAAUACAUUGAAUUUUAAUAUCCUAAUUCCUAUUUCAACUGUAGCAUAAUUGGUAUUUUCGACAUAAUUAUAGAAGAUUUGUAGAAGUUUUAGUCUUCCCAAUCUAUAAUUUAUCUACUAUUGUUUAUCUACAAAAUGUCUACAAUUUAUCUACAUUUCUACAAUGUAUCUACAAUUCUACAAUUUAUCUACGAUUUAUCUACAACUUAUCAACAACUGGAAAUAUGUCUUCUUCUUCUACUAGUUUCAAUGUGAAAUUCAGUCAAAACCAAGUCUAAUCUUCACCAAAGCCCCUUAAAAUUGAGAUAUAAACUCCUAAACAUAUCCCGAAUAAUUUACAACAUAACACAAUCCAAACAAAUAAUGAUUUUUGAAAACCCAAAUUUGAAUUCAAAGCUUUCAAGCUUUUUAACGACUAUCAAUGGUGGAAAAUAUGAAAGAACAGAUUUUUUCAACUUUGAGAUCUCUUUCCGUUUCAAAUUUCGUAUUUAUUGUUGACAAAAUCACACGCAUUUGGUGCCUUCAUUUUAGCGCGUUUUUAAUGGUAAAAUCUACCUAUUUUUGGAUUCGUAUAUAAUUUGUAGUAAAAGAGUGGACAACACGGGUAAAUAAUAAAUUAUGAACAUUUUUGGUAAUAAGAUUUGGUAUAUGGUAUAGAUAGGUAAAAAUUCCUAAUUUAAAUCCUAAAAGUUCGAAUUAUUUAUUAGGUAUAACCACUUGUUCAGCCUGUAUUUUAAAUAUUCGCCACAAUUUGAAUUUUUUUGCAAAUAUAGCCACUUUUAAUAAUCCUCGUAAAAGGCUCUCGUUCUGAGAGUGGUCAUCCAAUAGAAGUUCGUCGUCUCAAGAAAAACUCCUAACAUGCUCAAAGCAUGUUUUAAAUUUUGUAGACGUUUUAGUCACAACUGAAGACAUGUUUUAUCUCCGGUUCUGGCGAGUUUAAGUUAUUAUUUUAUCGAAUUGUAAUCAGUGGCGGAGCCAAAAUUUUCAUUAAGGAGAGUCAAAAUAUAAAAGAAUAAACUCACCAAAAAGUCAAGAUGUGUUACUAUAUAGUAUAUAUAUACAUAUUUUUUUUAAAAUUACCAAGCUAUACAGUGUAGUUAUGGGUGUUGGUUGACACAUUUUUGAUGCAUGUAGCUCCGCCAUUGGUUUUAACAAUCAAAAGAUAUCUCAUUUUGAGCAUUUUGAAAAUUAAUUUUAUUAUCAUGGUUCUAACGCUUCUCUUGCUUUUUAACCGUGAUGUCCGAGUCAGCUCGCAUACAACUCAACUAAUUUCACGGAAUACCAGCUAUCUCCCAGCAACAUAGAUAUCGGAUAACUCUAUCCACCAACGCUUGUACCAGGUAACUCUUGUUUUCUAAACAAUAUUGAAGUAUUGUGAGGUAAUGAACUCAAAACAGAAGAGGAAGCAGUACGGAGAACAACUAAUCUGAAAGCUUAAUAGUUUAAAAUCUUUGAGCAAUCAGCAAUAGGUAACUAUCAUAUGCAAAUGAUAUCACGCAUUGUCACCUUAACAAUUCCAGUAGAUCCUUUUGAUCCUCAAGUUCCUAAUACC